CACUUAGCAAUGAAAACGACGCCACUUUUGCCUGGAGGAAAAAUCCCUCAUCUUCCUCCCUCGGCUCGCAUUGCUCUCUGUCUCUCUCGUAUGCCAUGUUUACUUGUUCUAUCUCGUUUCCAUCCCUGAUUGAAGCCCCUUACGGUGCCACGAAAACACCAAGAUAACCACAACCCACAAUCUCUUACCCCCUCAAAUAGCCAUAGCAGCAACCGAGAACCCAUAGCAAUCAACCACUCACUUGCCUCAAUUUCCCAGCCCUCAUUCUGAGUCGGAUUACGCCCUUAAUAUCCGAUCCGUUUGACCCAUUUGGAACAGCAAAUUACACUAAUUUUUACAAGGAAUUCCAACAAUAUUCACAAUAAUAAUAGGGCCGCUGGUUUUUUGUGCUCCAAUUCCCUCAAAUCGAAGCUGAUUCUAGUUAAAGAAGAAUGGUGUUAUGUUACCCAUCAACACCGAAGAAAUUGGCAAUGACGGUGGGAUGCUUCAUUGCUGGAGCAACCCUCUUUGCAGUUGGCUCACAUUUCUCCUAUGUCCACGUUGCACCCCAACAAGCUCGCAUCAAAGCUCGAAAUGAUUUUGUUAAGGAACGAUUGCGAAAGAAACAUGGCAAAGGAUAGAUAAGCGUAGGUCUUCUUUAUUUAUUUUAUUACCCCUUUUUGUCAAAUGAAAAUUGCAUUUUUAAUGGUGGAAGUUCAAUAAAAUAAGUGUUUCAUUCACGGAUUA